UCCAGGUCGAGGUGGCAAACUUAGAACUUACACAUCAAAAAGGUAAUUUGCCCAACCGUGUUUUCUAUGUAGGCUAUUAGCAAAACACUAGGUCUAAAAAUAUAUAGUAUUACAACUCCCCAAACCCCUAGAUGUCAUCUAUAAUCAGUUUCCC